rnacentral:rRNA from 1 species
GAUGAACGCUGGCGGCGUGCCUAACACAUGCAAGUCGAACGGAGUUGUCACCAUGAAGUUUUCGGAUGGAUUGGUAACAACUUAGUGGCGGACGGGUGAGUAACGCGUGGGUAACCUGCCUCAUACUGGGGGAUAACAGCUGGAAACGGCUGCUAAAACCGCAUAAGAUCGCAUCACCGCAUGGUGAGGCGGUUAAAUAUCGAAAGAUAGGUAUGAGAUGGGCCCGCGUCUGAUUAGCUAGUUGGUGAGAUAAGAGCCCACCAAGGCGACGAUCAGUAGCCGGCUUGAGAGAGUGACCGGCCACAUUGGGACUGAGACACGGCCCAAACUCCUACGGGAGGCAGCAGUGGGGAAUAUUGCACAAUGGGGGAAACCCUGAUGCAGCGACGCCGCGUGAGUGAAGAAGUGCUUCGGCAUGUAAAGCUCUAUCAGCAGGGAAGAAGAUGACGGUACCUGACUAAGAAGCCCCGGUAACUACGUGCC